rnacentral:rRNA from 1 species
GACGUAGGGCGCGAGCGUGUCCGGAUUUAUUGGGCGUAAAGAGCUCGUAGGCGGGCUUGUCGCGUCGACUGUGAAAACCCCGUGGCUCAACCAUGUGGUCUGCAGUCGAUACGGGCAGGCUAGAAUUCGGUAGGGGAGACUGGAAAUUCCUGGUGUAGCGGUGAAAAUGCGCAGAUAUCAGGGAGGAAACACCGGUGGCGAAAGGCGGGGUCUCUGG